GGUCCCAUCGUCUAGUGGCCUAGGACGCGGCCCUCUCAAGGCUGCAACACGGGUUCAAAUCCCGUUGGGAUCACCA
rnacentral:tRNA from 1 species